ensembl:lncRNA
GGGAGGGGACGUUGUGUGGGGUUGGGUGAAGUGCUUUCACCUAGUCCCGCAUGCCCUUGUAUUGGAGUGAUUUCAGUUAAAAGGCUCGUGAAACGUCACUACUUGAUGCAGUCACGGCCAGCAGCAGCUGCCUGACCCCGCCGAGGCCUUCCGUAUGGCAACAUGAUCUUAACAGCAUUUGUUUGCCAUGAGAGGCUGUGUGAUUUGGAGCCAGUCGACCUACAGUGACAGCAAAGCAGUUGUGACUCUCAUGCACUGACACCAAAAACACUUUUUUUUCCCGUCUCUCGGCCUUAGCAGGAUCAUCUGAGCCACUGCCAGUUCAGAGUGAGCUGGGCUGCUUUUCCAGGAGGACAGUUGGGGACCUGACUUUUGAGGAGAUUCUGAGGUUUACCGAAGGAGCAAACCUUACGGGGUCAGACAGUGUCUUGUGAAAUCUGAGCUCUGCUUUCUCUGUCCCUCAGUUAUUGCCUCUGUAAAAUGGGGGUGUGGACACUGUAGACAUUAAAUAGCAGUGUAUCAAGGAGGCACCAUCUGGAGCAUUUGCCCAGCCUGCAGUGAUGCCAUUUGUCUGAGAAGGUUGUAGGGAUCAUUUCUCGUUUGGAUCUCAGCCCUCUUCCCAGCUCAGCCAUCAGCCAUCUGGAAUUGUGGGAGAGGUCAGACGGCUGCAAAGCCUCUAUGUGGAAUUGGAACUAAAUAUGCAUAUUUAUCAGUGUUUAAUGGAAGACUGCAGGAUGCUUGCAGAGUCUACAGAAGGCACGGGUAAGGUAGCUCUUGGAGUCCGGGAACAAGAACUGGACAGUGGAUGCCUCAAGGGCUGAGUUGGACUGACAGAACUGUGACCAGUGUCUAGCACCUGGGAUUCUCCACUAAAGUCAGAUUCUCAGGAAAGAGUUGGAUUAGCCCAACUCCAGUCAUGUGCCACCCCUUUGCUGCCUGGGAGGGAUGGGUGGCCUGAGGGAUAGUCCCACCAAAAACACCUGGGGAGGAAGUUUCUCAAAAGAAGUAAUGUGGAGGAGCUCUUCCCAAAGGAAGGAGGGGGGAUUCUGAGAAGGCAGGAAGAACUGAGGCCAAGAGCACAAACAGAGGAUGAAGCAGAGGUCAAGGCCAUGUGACCAGAGAGAGGAGAGAACUGGAGCAAGACAUGUAUGCACACAUGGACACAUGCACACAUGGACACUCACAUAUGCACACUUACAUGUACAUACACGCACACACGAGCUAUGGAGAGUGGUUGCAUGGAUUCCUUACUGUGAUGGAUUACAUUUUCUGAAAAUGGCCACAAAAAAAAAUUUCUGGUCCCAUGUCCUCAUCUGGAACCUUACCUUGCCAUCCCCCAUCAGGAGAUGGUGUUGAGUCCUUCCCUUGAUCAGGCAGGCCUUUGUGACUGUGUGAGCUCAGGCUAAAUGGUGUUACAUGGCUGCCAAGGUUGACCUAUAAAAGGAGAUACAGCUGGUGCUGCUCUCUAGCUGUACAUGUCCCUGGAGCCCAGUCUGUGCUGCAAGCAAAGCCCAGCUCCAGCUGAGCCACCCCACAGCAACACGUGCCCAGUAGCCAGUUGUGUGAGUGGCUUGUGUGAACCAUCAUGGUCCCAGGUUGGCCUGGCUUGGAGAGAAAUGAGCCUACCCUGCCAUGCCCCAUCCAAACUGCAGAUGUGUGAGCAAAAUAAAUGAUUGUUGUCAUGCUAA